UACGGAGGGAGCUAGCGUUGUUCGGAAUUACUGGGCGUAAAGCGCACGUAGGCGGCUUUGUAAGUUAGAGGUGAAAGCCUGGGGCUCAACCCCAGAAUUGCCUUUAAGACUGCAUCGCUUGAAUCCAGAAGAGGUGAGUGGAAUUCCGAGUGUAGAGGUGAAAUUCGUAGAUAUUCGGAAGAACACCAGUGGCGAAGGCGACUGACUGGACAAGUAUUGACGCUGAGGUGCGAAAGCGUGGGGAGCAAACAGG
rnacentral:rRNA from 1 species